UACGGAGGGGGCUAGCGUUGUCCGAAGUUACUGGGCGUAAAGCGCGCGUAGGCGGGUUGGUAAGUCCGCUGUGAAAGCCCGGAGCUUAACUCCGGAGGGUCGGUGGAUACUGCCAGUCUUGAAGGUGCUAGGGGGAGAUGGAAUUACCGGUGUAGCGGUGAAAUGCGUAGAUAUCGGUAGGAACACCUGUGGCGAAAGCGGCUCACUGGACCACAACUGACGCUGAGGCGCGAAAGCUAGGGGAGCAAACAGG
rnacentral:rRNA from 1 species